rnacentral:tRNA from 1 species
UUGAUAGAAGCCAAAAAGAGGCAUAUUAUUGUUAAUAAUAUAAUUGAAAAUCAUUUCCUAUCAAU